CGGGAGAUCGUCGUGGACGAGGUUCUCGCGAAUUCGGUCAGGUCCGGAAGGAAGCAGCCGUAACGAGUUUCGCCUUGGGUCGCGUGCGGUCUCCCACCU
rnacentral:SRP_RNA from 1 species